rnacentral:tRNA from 1 species
UAGCCAAGUGGUUAAGGCUAUGGAUCACCAAUCCGGAGACGGCGGGUUCGAUUCCCGU